GCGCGUGUCGGACCGAUGGGCCAUGAUCCUUGGUACUUGGCAAAUGCGAUUAGCGAACGUGGGGUGAGUUUUGUGGGUCGGGUUAUUCUUUUUGGUAAAAAGUUGUUUUGAUUAAUUCCAACUGUCAUAAUUAAUUCAUCCACUAAUGAUGUUAUAACUGCCCCACUAAACAACCAGUAAAUCGUGGUAACCACCCACUUCUUCCCGUUUUCCCAUUACUAGCCGUUUUAUGGUUGUUAUAAUUUCUCCUAUAAAUUGAUCCCUUCCGUUUUUCCAUAAACACGGUUACAUAAACAAUUCUCAGUAUUCUCUCUCUCAAACUCUCAAACACUAUUCUGUUCUUCUGGGCAAGCUAAGUAUUCUAAUCUCCAACAGAGGCUUGUGAGUGCACACAAACAUUGGUGUCGUGUUAAUCCUGGAGGGAAACCGCAAGUGAUCUACUGCAUCGAAGGUAGCGCAAAAUUGUCUUUUAGAGCAGUGGUUCGGCCACGGCGCGACAAACUGUUCAGUUCGUAAGUACGUAUUAUCCAACUAAGUUGUUCUAAUUAUUAUAGCUGACAUAAACUACUUAAAAAUUUAAUUCUCUCCUUUAAUAUGUUGUAAAUAUUACUACAUUAUGAUAUAUUUAAUUUUAGCUUCCAAAAAAGGCCUUAAAUAAUUGUUUUUUUAUUUUUCUUUUUUACCGAAAGUAUAUAGAAAUAGGUCUACAACCGGUCCAAACCGGUCAUGUCCAGGUUUUGGACCGAUUUUUCCGGUCUGGUCCGGAUCCGGUCCAAACAAAAUCGGUCCAAACUUCGGAUCUUGAAUUAUCAAAUUUUGAUCUUUGGUCUGGUUCGGAUUCGGACCGAUGAAAAACCCUAUGUACAGGUACUUAUAAAUUACGAAGAAAAAAUUUCAGCCGUUUUCUCAUCCCAAAACCCACUAUUUUAGGGCCAUUUUCUGUCUGGAUUCAUAUAUCAAUGAGUCUAAAUAAAUUAGAUAGGAACAUAAAGGUUACUCUGACUACUCACUAAUUAAGUAACAACAAAAAUAGUUAGAUGAUACUUUAAACAAAUAGAGAUGUUCCCUUAAAAGAAAAGAAAGGUGUUAAGAUGUGAUUGGUUUAAAGGUCAAAUCAAAGUAGAAUCAUUAAUUGUUAUAGCUUUAAUGAUUAUACUUAAAUGGCUAAUUGGCUACAAAGUAUAAUAAUAACAAGAACAUAUAGCAUGGCCAUGCUUACGAUGACGAUUACUCCCUCUGUCCCUUAAUACUCUCAAAACGUUCCCUUAAUAUUCUCACCGUUUUGACUGGACACGUUUGUCAAUGCACAACUUUGAUCACCAAUAUCUUUAACUACAUAUUAUAAAAAUUUAUAAAAAUAUUAAUAUUUUAAAAAUAUAUAUUAAGAUGAAUACAACAAUAUAUUAUAUAUUAACAUUUAUUUUCAUAUAUUAUAAAUAAAAUAGGGUCAAAGUGAAUUAUAUAAAUAGUGCAAAAAAUCAAAACGGUACGAGUAUUAAGAGACAAAGGGAGUAUAAAUUUGGUCAAAGCUAUCAACCCCAUCCUGUAUAAGGGAAGAAGCAAGUAAGAAUCGCAAAUAUGGCAUCUAACACUUUUAUUAUUUCAUUCACUCUGUAAUCAAUUGACAAAAACUUUAAAAUAAGUUAAUUCAAAGACAGAUAUUUCACAUCCGAUUAUUACUCUAUACUUAUAAUUGUCGUUUUAUAUCACACAUUUUCCUUUCCCUAUGUUUUAACGACAUAGAAGAAUUAGUGGUAUAAUUUAGACCUGAUCAAAAAGGGGAUCGGGUCGGUAAAAAAUUGCCUAUUGUGUCGGGCUAGGACACAUUUCGGGCCAAAUUUUUGUGCCCAAACCCGCUAUUUUGGACAAAAAUAGUGUGAUUUUUGGGCCAUUUUCAGAGCGGGCCAAAUUUAUAACUAAAUUAUUGUUUUAUGUUGCCUAAAACUCGCAAAAUUUUAAAAAAGACUGGGUCGGGCCCGAAAUUUUCUGCCCCAAAUUCGGUAAUUUUCGGGUCGGGCAAGGCCCAUGUCGAGCGGCUCUAGUAUAAUUGUCUCUCUAUCUUUUACAAAGGUCUAGAGUCUAGACUAAAGAUGGGUGUGGGCCCGAGGAACAACCAACCCGACCCGAAAAAUGCCAGGCCCGACACGAGCACGAAAACAGUACGGACACAUAUAGUUCUUCUCUAACAACGGGUUAGAUGAGUACGGACGGUGAGAUCGAAGAAAUAAUUUAUAUUGCAUCCCCUGUUUUAUUUUCUUUGAUGAACAAUCUUUUCUGCUAAAAUUUUGGAAAUCAGCUGUUUGGGAGUGAAGCUCUAGUUACUAAAACUUGCAAACACAGUAGCAGUUUUGUGAGGUUCAAAAUGCUUUUUUUAGCUUUUACAGUUUUUGCUAAUGGAGGAGGAAGAUGACUCUGUUAAGAAUUUCCAUAACUAGAUCAAAUUUCUGAAAACCCGUUUUUUCCCAGUUUUCUGUUAUCGGUUACUGUUCUCCAGUCCGUGUGGAGCUGUGGGAUGGCGGCCUUUGACGUGUGUUACAUUUGGACCAACCGUACCAAUUGUGGGCGACGAGUUGCCGGGUGGUUUGUCGCUAUUGAUUUGUUUAUAACCACGGUGACAUAUAUUGCAACUUUUGGGUCAUGGGUUGUCUCCUUCACUAUCGGCAAUAGACUCCAGAGUUGUUCAAUCAAUCCGUGUGUUCGUUAUGACAUCUUUGCAGGAUUGGUUUUCAUUGCUGGUUGUAUUAUUUCUUCAGUUCUUGUUUAUUCAAACUAUAGUGCAUUACGCUCUCAACAUUUAGUGGUUGAGUCUCAUGAUUGAUCUGAGCGACUUAUUGUAUUUGCCAACUACCAAGUAUUUAUCUCUAUUCUUAAUCGUCGAAUGUAAUCGCCGAAUUCACUAGUUUUUGUCAGAUUGGGGAAUUAAAUUUUUAAAU